GAGUGAAGCAUCUGUGUGGUUUUCUGGAGAGUCCAGGAUGUAAACUUGAAACUCUGAGAGUGAGUGUCUGUGGUUUGUCAGGGAUCAGCUGUGAUUAUCUGGCAGCAGCUCUGAAGUCCAACCCCUCCCAUCUGAGAGAGCUGGACCUGAGCAGAAACAACCUGGAGGAUCCAGAUGUGAAGCAGCUGUCUGAUCUUCAGCAGAGUCCAGACUGCAGACUGGAGACUCUGAGGUUGAACAGCAGCAGCAGCUUGUGUGACUGACAGAGGAAUGAGAAGAAGUGCAGAUGAAUGUCAGUGCUGCAGAGUGAACUGCUCUGAGAACAGCUCCACUGUCAGACACAAUGUAGAGUCCAGCAUCAUCCCUGUGUGUCCCUCUGGAUCUGACAGAGGAUCAUCAGUGUAUCUGGACUGCUCUGCUGCUGCUCUGUCCUUCUACAGUCUCUGCACAGUCUCUGUCUGACACUGGCUUCA